rnacentral:rRNA from 1 species
CCUACGGGGGGCAGCAGUGAGGAAUAUUGGUCAAUGGACGAGAGUCUGAACCAGCCAAGUAGCGUGAAGGAUGACUGCCCUAUGGGUUGUAAACUUCUUUUAUCAAGGAAUAAAACGAGGCACGUGUGCCUUUUUGCAUGUACUUUAUGAAUAAGGAUCGGCUAACUCCGUGCCAGCAGCCGCGGUAAUACGGAGGAUCCGAGCGUUAUCCGGAUUUAUUGGGUUUAAAGGGAGCGUAGACGGGUUGUUAAGUCAGGUGUGAAAGUUUGCGGCUCAACCGUAAAAUUGCAAUUGAUACUGGCAGGCUUGAGUACAGUUGAGGUAGGCGGAAUUCGUGGUGUAGCGGUGAAAUGCUUAGAUAUCACGCAGAACUCCGAUUGCGAAGGCAGCAUACUGGACCGCAACUGACGCUCAUGCUCGAAAGUGUGGGUAUCAAACAGGAUUAGAUACCCCGGUAGUC